AGAGCACACCGGACUGCGUUUUUUUUCCGAACGCCCGCAGCAGGGUCAGAAGGGAGGUGGUCGCCCUCCGUCGUGGUCUGGCGUGUAUUCCGAGCCUUGGUGUCUGGCGGUUUCCGAGCGUUGGUGUCUGGCGGUUUCCGAGCGUUGGUGUCUUGGCGGUUUCCGACCGUUGGUGUCUGGCGGUUUCCGACCGUUGGUGUCUGGCACGCGCCACCCUCUCUUGCUUUGGUUGCGCCAUGCCGAUGUACCAGGUAAAGCCCUAUCACCGGGUCUGCGCCCCUCUCCGUGUGGAGCCCACCUGCAUGUACUGGCUCCCCAACAUGCACGGCAGGAGCGGCGGCCCAGCACUUGGCACUGGCCACUUGCAGACAAGAAGACAAGAAAAUGAUUUGAGGACAGCUUCAAUCGCGGUGUGAAGAAGAAAGCAGCAAAACGACCACUGAAAACAACGCCGGUGGCAAAAUAUCCAAAGAAAGGGUCCCAAGCGGUACAUCGUCAUAGCCGGAAACAGUCAGAGCCACCAGCCAAUGAUCUUUUCAAUGCUGCGAAAGCUGCCAAAAGUGACAUGCAGGGAUGUCCUUCCUGAGAUCCGUGCUAUCUGCAUUGAGGAAAUUGGGUGUUGGAUGCAAAGCUACAGCACGUCUUUCCUCACCGACAGCUAUUUAAAAUAUAUUGGUUGGACUCUGCAUGAUAAGCACCGAGAAGUCCGCGUGAAGUGCGUGAAGGCUCUGAAAGGGCUGUACGGUAACCGGGACCUGACCGCACGCCUGGAGCUCUUCACUGGCCGCUUCAAGGACUGGAUGGUUUCCAUGAUCAUGGACAGAGAGUACAGUGUGGCAGUGGAGGCCGUCAGAUUACUGAUACUUAUCCUUAAGAACAUGGAAGGGGUGCUGAUGGACGUGGACUGUGAGAGCGUCUACCCCAUUGUGUAGGCCUCUAAUUGAGGCCUGGCCUCUGCUGUGGGUGAAUUUCUGUACUGGAAACUUUUCUACCCUGAGUGCGAGAUAAGAACGAUGGGUGGAAGAGAGCAACGCCAGAGCCCAGGUGCCCAGAGGACUUUCUUCCAGCUUCUGCUGUCCUUCUUUGUGGAGAGCAAGCUCCACGACCACGCUGCUUACUUAGUAGACAACCUGUGGGACUGUGCAGGGACUCAGCUGAAGGACUGGGAGGGUCUGACAAGCCUGCUGCUGGAGAAGGACCAGAGCACGUGCCACAUGGAGCCAGGGCCAGGGACCUUCCACCUCCUAGGGUGAAACCAGGAGAGAUUGCUUGCUUCACUUGUACAAGGCAGGAACGGUGGCAUGGGGUGGGGGAAACUUGGAGUUGGAAGGUGGCUAAUCUUUGAUUCUAUGUUUUUGAUCCUCCUGGCACUCCAGACCUGGGUGAUGUGCAGGAGAGCACACUGAUAGAAAUCCUUGUGUCCAGUGCCCAGCAACUCCUGCCUCAGCCUCCCGAGCAGCUGGGACUACAGGCGCCCGCCACCACGCCUGGCUAACUUUUUUGUAUUUUUAGUAGAGACGGGUUUUCACCGUGUUAGCCAGGAUGGUCUUGAUCUCUUGACCUUGUGAUCCACCUGCCUCAUCAUCCCAAAGUGCUGGGAUUACAGGCGUGAGCCACUGCGCCCAGCAUGUUAGACAAUUUUUAAUUCAUCCUCUCUGUGCUGUUGUUUUCUCAGCUGUGAAAGGAAUAUUCUGGUGGGGACAAGGUUACAGAGUUGCUGAGAGGGUCUCAUGACAUGAAGGUACUGGCCUUGGCACAGUGCCUGGGGGGGCGGGGACUCCGCACAUGCCUGUGAUGUCACAGUUACUGUCAGUUCACAGCGAACCUUCCCUCCUUUUCCUGUUGACUUUCCCACACUCCUGUAACCCUCCCUCCCUCCCUUCUUCCUCUCUCUCUCUCUCACUCACGCACACGCACACACACACACACACACACACACACACACACUCCAUUCUCUGUCUCCAUGACUCUGGAGUAAACUAACGUCUCGAGUUGCCAUUGGAAGCCCCAUUGUCCUCAUUUUGUUUUGUUUUGUUUGUUUGAGACGGGGUCUCGCUCUGUCCCCCAGGCUGGAGUGCAGUGGUGCGAUCUCAGCCCACUGCAGCCUCCGCCUCCUAGGUUCAAGCGAUUCUCCUGCCUCACCCUCCUGAGUAGCUGUGAUCAUAGG